UUUAUUAAUGAGCUAAAAAUUGUUAGUAAAUAAUAUUUACGAAAACAAAAAAUUAUGGCGGUACUUUAAGCUUUUCAGAGGAAUUUGCUCUUUAAUGGAUAAAACACCUUAAUCUUACUAGUAUUAGUUAAUUCAGUUUGUAUACCACUAUUAAAGUUAUAAUUAAUUAAUAUUACUCUUUUUUUUAAAAUUAAUUUUUUAAAAAAAAAUUUAAGUCAUGGUGCAGCUAAAAUAUUAGAAUGAAGUGAAUUACAAUUUUUUAAAAAAAAAGAGUUUGUAUAAGAAUUAUAUAAAAAUUUAUAGGAUUUGAAAGUAAAAAUUCAAUAAAAUGGCAUUUUGAAUUAAGCUCUGAAGUAUGUAC
rnacentral:rRNA from 1 species